ACACUUUAAAACCGUCCCCGAGGAUCUAUUGGAGGGCAAGUCUGGUGCCAGCAGCCGCGGUAAUUCCAGCUCCAAUAGCGUAUAUUAAAGUUGUUGUGGUUAAAAAGCUCGUAGUUGGAUCUCGGCGGACUGAGGGCGGUUUGCUUGCUAGUAUUACUGCCCUAUAGUCCGUAGUUUUGCCAGAGGUUUCGGGGUGCUCUUAAUCGAGUGUCCCGGGAUGCUGGCAGGUUUACUUUGAAAAAAUUAGAGUGCUCAAAGCAGGCUAUUACGCCUGAAUAUUCGUGCAUGGAAUAAUAGAAUAGGAAGUCGUUUCUAUUUUGUUGGUUUUCGGAAAUCGACUUAAUGAUUAAUAGGGACAGUCGGGGGCAUUUGUAUUCAAACGACAGAGGUGAAAUUCUUGGACCGUUUGAAGACAAACUACUGCGAAAGCAUUUGCCAAGAAUGUUUUCAUUAAUCAAGAACGAAAGUUAAAGGUUCGAAGGCGAUUAGAUACCGCCCUAGUUUUAACCAUAAACGAUGCCAGCUAGCGAUCUGCGGACGUUUUUUUGUAGACUCCGCAGGAAGCUUCCGGGAAACCAAAGCAUUUGGGUUCCAGGGGAAGUAUGGUUGCAAAGCUGAAACUUAAAGGAAUUGACGGAAGGGCACCACCAGGAGUGGAGCCUGUGGCUUAAUUUGACUCAACACGGGAAAUCUCACCAGGCCCGGACACUGGAAGGAUUGACAGAUUGAUAGCUCUUUCUUGAUUCGGUGGGUGGUGGUGCAUGGCCGUUCUUAGUUGGUGGAGUGAUUUGUCUGGUUAAUUCCGAUAACGAACGAGACUCUGUCCUGCUAAAUAGUGUCUGCUUCUCUUUUGAGCAGACAAUUCUUCUUAGAGGGACUGGCGACUCUUAGUCGCACGAGAUUGAGCAAUAACAGGUCUGUGAUGCCCUUAGAUGUUCUGGGCCGCACACGCGCUACACUGAAUAGAUCAGCGUGUUCUCCCUUUCCGAGAGGAACGGGUAAACCGCUGAACCCUAUUCGUGGUAGGGAUCGGGGCUUGCAAUUAUUCCCCGUGAACCAGGAAUUCCCAGUAGGCGCAAGUCAUAAGCUUGCGUCGAUUACGUCCCUGUACUCUGCGUUGAUACCACUGCUUCCAGUGUUCUCUACUAAUGAAAAAAAAGUUUCAUUGUAAAACUUGUAUUUAGUAGAAAA
rnacentral:rRNA from 1 species